rnacentral:snRNA from 1 species
GUGCUCACUUCAGCAGCACAUAUACUAAAAUUGGAAUGAUACAGAGAUUAGCAUGGCCCCUGUGCAAGGAUGACGUGCAAAUUUGUGAAGCAUUCCAUAUUUUU